CCAUUGGUCUCACCUCAUUCACUUCAUUUUGCCUUCAUUUUGCAGUCAUUCUUCUUGCCUUCAUUUUGCAGUCAUUCUUCUUGCCAAGUGAUUUCUCUUCCUGUUGUGUCCCCUUUGUCACGUCCUGUCCUGUGUCACGGGUGGGUGCACAUAUUUGUCCCGGAGCUGCUCUGCCCUGCCGCAUAGCCUGGCGCGUUAGGACAAAUCCCGGGGACUUGAAAUUUGUAGUGCGGGGUGUAGUUGGAUUCUAGAUGGGAUUUGUAGAUGGACACAAGAUGUUUGGAGGUGUGAAGUUAUUCUGCAGCUGAUUGACUUGUGUCCUGAAUUUCUUUCAGAUGCAGAUGGAUAAAAUCCAUGGCAGAGCACCCCAUCCCAGGAAGUAAAGCCGUCUAGCAGCAGACAAGGCAAAGUGGGCAAGGCAAUCCAUUUGGAGUAUACGUGACUCUGUCACGCACUGGCUGAUGGACUGUGAUCGUUGCUCUUUGGAGUCCUGUGGAAGUAUUACAGGACUCGGCGAUGAAGCCUCUGCCUUUUCUAUUUAAAGGAGUCAUCCGGGUGGCCUUUGGCAAUGCCGAGGAGUUGCGAUGACUAAGAGACAACGGCCCGGUGACAGCAGGAACUUCCCAGACGGCAAGGGGAGGUCUUUUGCACCUGACACGGAGUGGCAUCUGCAGAUAAGUCGAUGGCUGUGACCCAUAGAGGGGAUGAUAGUGGGGUGCUGGGUCGGGACUCACAGGGAGGGAUUUUUGAGUCUGCUUUGGAGUUGGGGAUGUCCAAGAAGUGGCCCCUUAGGUCACAGAAAAGCCAAGUGUCACUUUUGAUCCCAGUGCUGAGGUGCGCAGGGCAGAGCAGUCCCGGAGGGUAUCGUGUCAGUUGUCUAUUGUGCAUUCUGUGUGUUUGGCUUUCUCAUGUCUUU